GACGAACGCUGGCGGCGUGCUUAACACAUGCAAGUCGAACGGAAAGGCCCUGCUUUUGUGGGGUGCUCGAGUGGCGAACGGGUGAGUAACACGUGAGUAACCUGCCCUCGACUUUGGGAUAACUUCAGGAAACUGGGGCUAAUACCGGAUAGGAGCUCCUGCUGCAUGGUGGGGGUUGGAAAGUUUCGGCGGUUGGGGAUGGACUCGCGGCUUAUCAGCUUGUUGGUGGGGUAGUGGCUUACCAAGGCUUUGACGGGUAGCCGGCCCGAGAGGGUGACCGGCCACAUUGGGACUGAGAUACGGCCCAGACUCCUACGGGAGGCAGCAGUGGGGAGUAUUGCACAAUGGGCGGAAGCCUGAUGCAGCAACGCCGCGUGCGGGAUGACGGCCUUCGGGUUGUAAACCGCUUUCGCCUGUGACGAAGCGUGAGUGACGGUAAUGGGUAAAGAAGCACCGGCUAACUACGUG
rnacentral:rRNA from 1 species